rnacentral:lncRNA from 1 species
GCAGCCCCCAUCUCUCCUCCCACGCGACUCCUCGCCGCCGCCCCAUGAUUCCGAUGACUUUCGGCGGCUAUGGCCGGCGCGCAGCCUACCUCCAUCUUCCCCUCUCUCCGCUCCUCCCUCCCCUCCGGCUCGAUUUACCACUAGCGCUCUCCAGCAACCCAUCCCCGUGGCAAGGGUUUCGGCGCCGGCGCGGCUCCGGCCGAUCCUCUUCGUCGCCUGCCACCUGCUGGAUGGUGCUCCUGGAAUAGGGCCUCGCGAGGCCGACCUCCCGCAGGAUGUGCUGAUGGGCGCACCCUGCAUCGGCAUGUUCGGGAUGAGCACGGGACCGACGACCUUGUCCCGCUGGACGAUGGAGGCGGCGAACGCCAGUGCUCCUCGUCCCUGAACCUGUCCACCCAUCCGGCGAUGUACAGCUUGUCGUCAUGCGCGUGUACGUGGUGGGCUUCCUCUCUCUCCCCCCCUCUACCCCAAAUCUGGAUUGCACUUGCAUCUAUUACAUAUAUAAAUAUGAAUAAGCACCACGGUUUGGUAUGCGUCUAGAUCGGGAUGGUACCUGUAGUAAACAGUCGCUCCCCAUCUGUAUGCGUCCAUGAUUCUGCACACGGUAGCUCCUUGGCUUUUAUUUUGAACAUAACUCCUCCCUAAUCUUCCUGUACUCCAUGUCCGUGGUUGCUGUCAUGUACUCGAUGCCUUUAUUGUUUCAAAAUUCCAAUACCUGAAAGUGGCACAUCAUAUUUCUAGUCGUGGUCCUGUUUACACGGCUUUUUCUGAUUUUGUUUCAGUCAAGUUUAUGUGAAAUAUAAUCUCAUUUUAUCUGAUACUUUGGUUUGAAUAUUUACAUUUUAAUUACCAUGUACGUACUAGUGCAGUAUCCAGAUAUUUUGUUGGUGUUAUCUUCCAAAAUAAUAGUAAAUGCAGUCCUCAGAUAGAAGUAAAAGUAGCAUGUCCGCAAACAGAGUUGUACAUGUAAACUUACUACAAGUGUUGUAGAUGAUUGAUUGGAAUCAUAAAGAUCUCAAAUAAACAUACAAAAACAGAUUCUUGACACAAAUUAAUAUAGACUCAUCAAAUAUAUACUUUGUCCGUGGUCAACUUGUGAUGCCAAAUAAUGUUCAGUAUAAUAGCAACCUACAAACAACAGUCUACAGUUCUAUGAUCAUUUCCCUCCUGCAGUUCUAAAUAUCAUGCGAACAUACAUUGCUUUAUGCAAGAGAAAGAAGUAUGUGUACUUUAGAAAGCAAAAUGUUGAAGAAACAUAUAAAAAAGAUGUUGCAUGGCUGAUGUUUAGGUCACUUCUUUAUAGGCUAUAAUCUCUGAAAAUCCACAAAUUAUACGGUUGGUUCAUAACUGCUAUUUAGGUCACUUCUUUAUAGGUUAAUACUUGCUUCAUCCAUUUCUGAAUGUGCAGGAAAGACUGUAGAACAGAGAAGGGGUUCAUCAUGCCGUUUGGGUUGGUAUGGGCUAGUUCCGGCGACGGUGUUGUCGGCCUCAGCCACAAAUGUUGAAGGUAUCCCCCUCCCUUCUUCCCUUUGCUCUUGUCAUGUGUUCAUUUUGUUUUCUUUCCAUAGGAUACUAUCCCAGCUUGUUGGCAAACAAGCUCAUUUCAUUUGCUUUGCACAUAUGUGAGUUAAGUAUUAUGUUACUAACAUCUUAUAAUGUACUUAUGCCAAGAAACUUUCGGGACAUUUAUCCGUACUGGUUGUUUCUGCGAGAGUAGACAAUAUGUAUGUUUAGGACAUGAUGUGAAGCUCACAUCUGAUCAUUUAACUAAGAUAACUUGAUUUGAAUCAUUGAAGAUAGUUUUGUAAGGGCUUCUUACUAAAUGGUUUUCUAGGACAGUACCUACCAAGCCCAGAACCAUGCUAUUUGUUGUGAUAGUUUCCCCUGAUCUAUAAGAUUUUUGUUCCUCCCUGAUGUUUUCCUUCCUAAUCCAUUUCCCUUGAUGCUUCUGAUGUGCAUCCUGUCUGUAGGUAUUGCAUUACAUUGAAUUUGAUGGAGAGAAACUUCUCCGAGAGAACUGAAAGAAUGAGCUGUGAGGUGGAACUAAGGGGCUUUAAGAAACUUUUAUGUGUUGUUGACGUAAACUGGAGUGUGCUAGUUCCUAACUUUGAUCUGUUUUGUAUUUUGUCAACUGAUGUUGUAAAUUAUCAUUUCAUUGAGGAUUUUGUAAACUGAUGUCUUGUAUAUAUCGGUGGAUGCUUGUAUAAAUGCUACAUGAUUUGUGUAUUAUAUGUCAUUUUGGAAAUACUGUCUUGGGUCAAAGUUGACAUUAUGAUCAGUGUAAUGCAUUAUGCUAAAAAAGUGUUGUCUCAAAAU